rnacentral:rRNA from 1 species
GACGAACGCUGGCGGCGUGCUUAACACAUGCAAGUCGAACGGAAAGGCCCUGCUUUUGUGGGGUGCUCGAGUGGCGAACGGGUGAGUAACACGUGAGUAACCUGCCCUUGACUUUGGGAUAACUUCAGGAAACUGGGGCUCAUACCGGAUAGGAGCUCCUGCUGCAUGGUGGGGGUUGGAAAGUUUCGGCGGUUGGGGAUGGACUCGCGGCUUAUCAGCUUGUUGGUGGGGUAGUGGCUUACCAAGGCUUUGACGGGUAGCCGGCCUGAGAGGGUGACCGGCGACAUUGGGACUGAGAUACGGCCCAGACUCGUACGGGCGGCAACAGGGGGGAAUAUUGCGCAGUGGGCGGAAGCCUGAUGCGGAAACGCCGCGUGCGGGACGACGGGCUACGGGUUGAAAACCGCUGUCGACUGUGACGAAGCGUGAGUGACGGUAAUGGGUAAAGAAGCACCGGCUAACUACGUG